UACGGAGGGUGCAAACGUUGCUCGGAAUCAUUGGGCGUAAAGCGCACGUAGGCGGCCUGAUAAGUCGGGUGUGAAAGCCCUGGGCUCAACCCAGGAAGUGCACUCGAAACUGUCAGGCUUGAAUAUGGAAGAGGGUCGCGGAAUUCCCGGUGUAGAGGUGAAAUUCGUAGAUAUCGGGAAGAACACCGGUGGCGAAGGCGGCUCACUGGCUCAUUACUGACGCUCAGGCGCGAUAGCGUGGGGAUCAAACAGG
rnacentral:rRNA from 1 species